GAUUCUUAUAUGUGAUACACAGGGACGCUUUAUUCAUUUUUAACUCACUUAGCCAAGGAAAGAAAGCCAUGUUCAGAUGUAAAUAUAAUAGUUUCUAGAGGUGAGGGUAUAGGUCAAAUAGUGAAGUGCUUCCACAUACUCAUAAGGCGCUGAGUUCAAUCCUCAGAACUUCUUUAAGAAAGUUAGGUGCAGUAGUGUGUAUUUGUAUAGAAGGACAGGAGAGAGGACAGGAGAGGGGACAGACGGAUCUAUGGGGAUUGCUGGCUAGCUAGCCUAACCUAAUUAGAGGAGCCCCAGGCCAGUGAGGGAUCUGAUUUAAAAGCACCUGUGAGGAAAAACACCUGAGGUUGGUGUGUGUUUGUGUCUCUGUGCGUUUGUCUGUCUGGCUGUGAAAACAGCCUUCAAAUCUAUGAAUAUUAAAACAGAAGCAAACCAAACAUUAACACAUGAAGAUUUUGCCUUUGGAAGCAACUACCUAUCAUUAUGCUUCAAUGAUGAAAAGUAUAUCUUUUCUCUCAUUUGUUUUGUGAUAUUAAAAUUUACUUUAUUUUGUUUUUAAGUGUUUUUUGUUUGUUUCAGGCAGUUUUUCACUAUGUAGGCAAGUCUGGCCUUGAACUUGUAGCAAUUUCCCUGCCUCUAAAUCUUGAGUACUGAAAUUAUAGGCAUGCACCUCUAUGUCUGGCUUUUUUUUUUUUUUAAAUAACUUUAGACCUUUGAAAUGAUUGUCCCCAAUAACUUGGUAAUUUAGUGGAAAUGUUUGAGCUUAAUGAGAGAAAGCUAUUAUGGUAGGUUAUCUUACUCUAUAGGAGGAAAAUUCUAUUUUCUUUUGUUUAUUAUUGUUGUCCAAAGUUUUUGUUUAUUAGCUGAACUUUUAUGUACAAAGAGAUAACAUACUAUUUUUAAUAAAUCUUGUUUUAUAUAUGAUAGAAUUUCAAGUUGCUUGCCUCUUAACAUAUGACACUCACUCCUCUGUAAUAGUCAUCUGGAUGUGAGACAGUUUCAUCUUUGAAAACUCUGUGCUUGGGUUUUUUGUUUAGUGAUUAAUCCUUUUUACUGAAGACUAGAACAUUCUACUUUUCUUUACUUUGAAGCUGACUGUGUUCAGGGAGCUAGAAUCUGAAUACAGAGUACCAGAGUCAGUGUGAGCUUUGUCUACGAAUGUGUGCAAUUGUUGCUUUCUACACCAGAGAGACAUAGUUUUGUAAAUGCCUUCUCUGAUUAAAUUGUAAAAUUAAUACUUGAUUAGUGUUUCAAGGAAUUGUUGUAUACCCGUUCUUUCAUAUUUUCCUUAAUUUUUCUCUUACCAGCAAAUAAGGCAGUGGAUUUUACAACAGUGAAAUUCUUGCUUCAGGAUUCUAAAAGUUUGUUACAUGCCUUCAGUACAAGGUCAAAUUAUGAUGGAGUUCUUCCCCAGACCUUUGCUCAAGUAAACAAACUACUGCAAGUACUCGCAGAGGUGAGACACCCAUAGAUUGUUAUUUAGAUAGCUCAUCACAAACAUUCCAAACAUGAAUUUAGUGGCCAAAUAUAAAAGGAUUCUAUGACUUUUACUUAUUCUAGUAUUCUAAAGGCACUAAGUAAAUACCAAGGACAUUGAAACAGAGGCAAGGCUUAUCACAGGCUAUGGAACAUAGACCUUCUAUAGAAGUUGUAUCACAGUAGUUGUUGAAGGAUUUAUUUACUUAUUUAUUUAGUUAAUUUAUUUUUUUUGAGGUAGAAUUUGUGUAGAUAGUUCACCUAGUCUCAAAUGCACGCAUUUUUUCUUUUUAGGACUUUAUAGUAUAGAGAUUAUGGAUAUAUAUCACUACACACUUUAGAUUUUAUUUUUUUUUCUUGUUGAAUUUUUUAUUUCCUUUAUGGACAAGAGAAAGUUGUGCACACAAAGAAGAGGGGCUAGAGAGAUGUUGCUCUUGUUAGAAGAUGUAGGUUUAGUUCUCAGCAUUUAUAUGGUGGCUUAAAACCAUCUUUAAAUUUAAUUCCAGGGGUUUUGACACCAUCUUCUGACCCCUUCAGGUGCCAGGCAUGCCCCUGGUAUACAUACAUGCACGUAGCCAAAUACUCAAACAUAAAAUAAUUUAAAAGAACAAAAAAGUAAGUUUUUUAGAUUUUUUUUGAGACAGGAUUUCAUGUAGCCCAGGCUAGCCUCAGAUUUACUAUGUAGCCAAGGAUAGAUAAUCUUUUUUUGUUUGUUUGUUUCUGUUUUUUGUUUUUUUUCCGAGACAGGGUUUCUCUGUGUCCCUGGCUGUCCUGGCACUCACUUUGUAGACCAGGCUGGCCUGGAACUCAGAAAUCUGCCUGCCUCUGCCUCCCGAGUGCUGGGAUUAAAGGCGUGCGCCACCACGCCCGGCAUCAGGAUAGAUAACCUUAAGCUCCUGAUCCUCCUACCUUCAUCUCCUGAAUAGUGGGAUUGUGACUGAGUACUAUCACUCUUGUUUCUGUAGUGCUGGUUAUCUAAUCCAGAGUGUCAGUCAACUGAGGUACAUCCUGAACCCUAAAAUAUAUGUUACUGAGAAUUGUUUGUAUAAUUCAUUUAGAUUUGAUACAUGCCUGUUUUUAAAAAAAGGUCAUUUGUUUUAUGUAUAUAAGUACACUAUAGCUGCCUUCAGCAGAAGAGGGCACUGGAUGCCAUUAUAAAUGGUUGUGAACCACCAUGUGGUUACUAGGAAUUGAACUCAGGACUUCUGGUAGAGCAGUCAGUGCUAUU
rnacentral:lncRNA from 1 species